UCAUUUUUUUUUUCCUCCUCUGAGUGGGCCCUGCUGCCAUGUCAUCGACGUCUUCAAGAAUCAGACGGAGAGACAGCGUACGUUUUCCGUUUCUCCCGUUUCAUCUCGAUUUGAUUGCGGGCGAUUUAAGUCACCAUUUGACGCACCGUUUCUUCCUACUUAAGCCCCAGAUUCUCCUCUCUAUUUACCCUCAUACGUCACACCAAGAGAGCCACCAGGCUGCUCCAAUUUAACCUCGCAAGUUCACGGUACCGGCGACUUCCCGGGACGAUUGCGUGACGACGUUAUAUUUCGACUGUAGUCUCCGGCGAGCGAUUUCCGGCGAACUACUGCACCACGACGUCCGCAACUUCGCCAUCGAGUUCCCUUUGCGAAGACGAACUCCGUUGUCUGCUACACCAUCGCCAACAAGCACGGGGACAUUAAUCGCAGCGACCACGCGACGACAUUCCAGUGACCUGUGUGUUUCCCUACGCCCCCGGCGAGCGUUUUUUCCAUCCGGACGGCGUAAUUCGGCCCAGUCGUGCCCCCGGUUCCUUAUUUUCGUCCGGAUUUGGCCCUUCAUCCAUCCGGCGAGCCCACGCCAUCCCCGGCCCCCCGGGAGCGCUCGGGGACUCCGGACGAAACGAAAGCGCGCGUGGCCCCAACUUGUCGGCGACCCUCGUCUUCCCGAUCUACGGCAAUACCCUCGUCUUCCCGAUCUACGUCAAUACCCUCGUCUUCCCGAUCUACGGCAAUACCCUCGUCGAACGAAAGCUUUGAACUC